AAGAAAACUGAUAGACAGUUGGUCAAUUGAACAUCGGUUGCAAACAAUGAAAUAAGCAAAAAAAAAUAAAAAAUCAAUCGGGAAACUCGUAAUACAACUCCUAUUAUUGUCAUUCCAGUUCUAUUUUAAGCUAUUAAUCGAUUGGUGUAACAUAACAGAUAAGAUAAUAUUACAGAACAACGGAUUCAAUUACACACAACGUUCAAACAAUGGUACUUGAUAUGAAGUGGAAAUAACAUUAAGGGAUCCAUAUCGAUUAAUCUCUGAAUCAUUUGGCUCUCUAUAUUCACUCAAUAGCGGUAUUGGUUCAGAUACAACAGAAUAUAGAGAGUAAGUUCAGUGAGAAGAAAAACAAAAUUCGAUAAAUUGGAGAGCAAAAACAGCACACAUUUCCACUCACCGAACUAAGAGAAUAUAUAUUUUUACAUUGUAAAAACGACCCUACGUGACUGUAUGCGCAUAGUAUUUUGUUUUGAUGAUCGGGACGCAGACUACAUAGAAUAAAAUACAGCUACGUGAUUGGCAGCGAAUGAUUUUAAUUGUAAGUGGAAAUUAUGAGCUUGUCGCACAGGAACAAGAGCGACAUUUGGACAAAUCCAACAAGGUGAAAAGCUGUAAUGGAUCGUGUGUAGAAAAAAGUCUAGUUAAAUAAUUAGAAAUAAGGUCUAUGCUAUCACAAUUUGAAGAAAUGUUCGACCGAAUCGAGUAUUGUCGGAUAAAUUGACCAAUAAAUAUGAAUGGUUGGAAUCGCUUUCCAUUUUAAUUAGCCGGUAAAGGAACAUGUUCCCAAUCAGUAAGCGAAACCUCUUUACACCCAUAUCAACCUUCAUUCGAGAUAAGAAUGGGUAAACAGUACCUCCAUAAACAACUUAAGGAAUUCGUUUAUCUAAAUGAUUUCGCUAUUUACUUGUACUGAAAACAUGAUACACUUUACCCUCGUUGAAUAUAGGAUUAAAAAUGUAUUAAUUACAAAAUUGACCUUGAAAUAUUCCAGACGGACACCCUGUGAAUAUACUCAAAUACAUCGAACGGUGAACACAUUUUCUUUGAAUCAUGUCCACACACUCAUAUUCCCUAUUUUGUUAUUUUUUUGGUAAAUAUGAAAUACGAGUGUAAAGAAAACGAACGCGGGCAAUGCCGGUGUAUUCAAAAUGAUGUGUGUUAUAUAACCGAAAAGGAAAUGCGCAGAAUGAGUUGAAUAUUGUGGCCCGAAAAUUUACGUAAUCGUUUCACUAUUAAAAUGCAUAUUAGCAGAAUCCGUGUGUAGGUAUAUUUACAACCAGCAACCUUUUAGCAUAUUAUUCCCAAUGUGAUUCUAUACGUUUUGAUCAGAUGUUAAUGUGUGGUCACACAGAAUAAUUAUGGUCAAUCAAGAAGAUUUCCGUAAUUUAUUCAAAUCACUUUGUUUGCAUGGAAAUGAAUGAGUCGAUUGAUGUGUUCCACAUUUUGUUCUUUAGGUAGCGUUUUUAUGAUUAGAUGAAUGCCAGCGAAAUAAUUAAUUACGAAAAUAAACAAAACAUCCUCUCCACAUUGAAAUUAUAAUAUUGUUCUGAUAAUGGGUGACUCAUUCCAACAUUUAUCAAUUUACUGUUUACACUGCAAAUCGUUCGUUUUUUUUAAAUUUAAAUAAUUAAAUAUUCGAAUUGUUUAUUCGUUUGAUAGUAAA